GUGUGCCACCUCUUAAUCCCAACAGUUUAUUUUGUAGAGGCUAUUCAACAGUAUAUAAACAUUGAUUAUAGUUUCUGAAAAGAAAACAAUAUAUAGUAUGUGUAUACUUAGCUAAAAAGGACAUUUACCAAAAUGUUUACUAGGGUUAUCUCUAUGCAUGCGAUUUUUCACUUUCCUCUUUAUUACAUUUAAUAUGACUAUCACGAUUAUACUAAACUGUUUCAAAACAGAACACACAGUAACCAUAUGUAAGGGAGAAUAAAAUAAGUCCUAUAAAAAUGAAAAAGGUGGGGGUGGCAAAGGUUUGCAGAGGAGAGUGUGGAUACAAGUGAGGAAUCACUUUAGUUUCUAUGAAGGUGACAGCUUUUGAAAUGGAAUAGCCUUUCAAUAUGUAAUGGAACUCCAAUGAGAUGAAAAUCCAAGAGUAUAUACUCUAAAGAGAGAAAGCAUAGGGAAAUGUGUGUGUGUGUGUGUGUAUGUGUGUGUGUGUGUGUUUGUGUGUCUCCAAUUAUGUAUGUAUAUGGGAGAAAGUUAACACCUAAGUUCACUAGAAAGAUAAUCUAAACUAAAACUAAGGACCUGAAUGGCGCUGCUUUGCCAUGUGCACAAUUCAGGUUCAAGUCUAGUCCCUACUGAAUUGAGGGAAGCUUCAAUGCUGUGGUCUAUUUCACUCUUUCUCUGCCUCUCUGUCUCUAUGUGAAAAUCUUGGAACAGUAAAGCCCAGGUGAUAAAAAAAAAAUUACAUAAACAAAACCCCUGAAUGUUGGGGUGAAGAGUUCUCACUUACUUCCACAGGAAGUAAGGAAUCAAUCACACAAGUACUGGGACAGAAGAAUGAAAUGAUUAGUCCAUCUCUAACCUUCUUCACGUUCCCUACAUAAAAUAAAAUUCUUCAGCUGGCUUUCCACGAAGACCACUUGAGCUCUCUUGGAUCCCAAUUUGAAUGAAGACUUGACUAAGCUAAAUGAAAUGUUUUGUACAAUACCAGAAACUCAUAAGACAUAUUCAAAGAAAAUUAGAGCCAUUUAAAAUCUUCAAAAAAUACAAAAGCAAACAAUAAUAGGCAAAUCACAAAAAUAUAAAACUUGAAGUGUCUUAUUUUAUCUGAUUUUUUCAAUGUGUGUUUUUUUUCUGUUUUAUUAGAUAGAACAGAGAGAACUUGAGAGAACAUGGGGAGAGAGAAAGAUAAAUACCUGCAGACCUGCUUCACAGCUUGUGAAACAUUCUCCCUGCAGGUAGGAUCUGGGGACUCAAACCUGCGUCUUUGUACAUUGUACUAUGUGCGUUUAAUCAGAUAUGCCACCAUCCAGCCCCCUUGAUAUAUUUUUACAUAAAAUUUUGUAAAGCCAGUCAUUGUCAAUUAAAAUGAGUCUGAGACAUGAUGGGCCUAGACCUCAAAUAGAUCCCUCUCUCCAUUGUCACUGGUCAUCUCUAUCAAGAGCAACACAAUAGAUCCCUUUGUGGGCCCCCAUAGGACCUUGCCCCCAACGUGGAUCUACAAUGAAGGGAAGCUGGACAACAUACUCUAUAUUCCACCUGAGGAAGAUGGGUCCUGAAAUUGGGGCAGCUUGGAACAUUCCUACUCAUGACCACAGAAUGUGAGCUCAGAUCUAUAGAGAUGCAGAGGUCACAUAUGCUCCUAAGCUGAAUAUGGGCCCCAGAUCAGAUCAAAUUAUAGGCUCUUUGGAAUAUAACUAAAAUAGGACUACACUCUAUAAAAUGGAGACCUCCUCCCCAACUCUUCAUCUGAACUAUUCCAGCCUUUAGGUUCAUGAUUAGCCAAUAAUUUGUUUGGCUCUAUAUGCUAAUUCUUUUUUCAGCCACCAGGUUCCAGAUGCUACCAUGAUGCCAACCGGACUUCCCAGGGCAAUCGACUCCACCAGUGUGUCCUAGAGUCCUGCUUCCCCAGAUCCCCAUCCCACUAGAGAAAGAGAGAGACAGGCUGGGA